rnacentral:rRNA from 1 species
CGAGGCGGAUAGUUAAACAUUUAGUCAAAGACUGAGGUAAAUAGCUUCUUUCAUCUAAAUUAACUUACUAUCUUGAGUGUCUUGGGUGGUUUAUCACAUUCUUGAAGUAAGGGUGAAAUUGUUGAUAACUGGAAGAUGUUCAAAAGCGAAGGCAAUCGCAACAAGACUCUGACGCUGAGGCACGAUGGCGUGGGGAUCAAAGAGGAUUAGAGACCUCGUAGUCCACGCUCUAAACAUGGGUGUUCAAUAUCUUGAAGAUCUUUAGAUCUUUGGGGAAUUUACAGCUAACGCGUCAAACACCCCGCUGGGGAAUGUGGCCGCAAGGUUAAACUCAACGGAAUUGACGGUGACUCAUACAAGG